UAACUGCACUAAAAUUGCAAC
rnacentral:piRNA from 1 species